rnacentral:lncRNA from 1 species
GCUGGGUUUACAGGCGUGAGCUACCGCCCUCAGCCCUUAUCCUAUGCUCUUAACCACAAAUUACACUCCACAUAGUUCCUGACUCAUACUACUUGCUAGGUAAUAUUAAUGGCGGUCUAUGCUUAAUUGCUGAUAGCUUUCUGAUGAAGUCAUUUUGGGUAGAUUCAUCCUGCUCUAUCUUUAAUUGUGUUGAACUAAAAUCAAAAGCAGGUAUUUUCCCCCCUGCCCGGUCCCCACAGGCAAAUUCUUCUAAAAGAGCACAGAUUAUAUUGUUGAUCCAGCCAUUCAUCAUUUUCAUCCAUGUCGUCAUCAGAUAUUUACUGAAUGCUUUGUAGUAGACACUGUGAUUGAAUCUAAAAUAUCCUUUCUACCUCUAGAGAAUUAGGAUUUUUAGCCAAUGAUGAUAAAUCUGCUCUCCCUUGUCACAGAUUGGUUGAGGGGUGGGCCGACCCUAGCCUGUUUGGGCCAAUGAGAGGUGAGUACAGGGCUGUCAGGAUCUUCUGGGAAGAAGCCCUACCUCCACCGCCCUCAAGCUGGUCUCUCCAUCUUGCAGCCCGAGGGAGGCCUGAUGUGGCGUGAGGCUGUGGUCUGCAGAGUGGAAGGCUCCAAGAACCUGGUUUGGAGUCUCACCUUCUGUGUCUCCAGUUAAUACGAGGAAGUAAGUACAGCCUGGAAUUCCCCUCCUACUGGAAAACUGGACAACAAGCAAUACAUGAUUAUGAUCCCUAGGAAAAGAGAAACAAAUACGGUAAGCCAUACCUAGCCCAGGAGUAAGAAAUCUUAAUUCUAAACCUUUGUGCUUGAAAGUAAUUAUCAUACUGCAGUGAAGGGAAAGGGAACCCAGGGUCUAGCAAUCUUGCUGGGUUGAGGAGAAAGAGAUUGAAGUUUGGGGAGGCUAAAGCAGCUUUAAUUUAUGGGUCAGACUACUGGAAACGAAGGAGGUACACAAAGAAAGGCCUCCAGAAAUCUGUACAAUUUAUGGGUCAGACUACUGGAAACGAAGGAGGUACACAAAGAAAGGCCUCCAGAAAUCUGUACAAUUUAUGGGUCAGACUACUGGAAACGAAGGAGGUACACAAAGAAAGGCCUCCAGAAAUCUGUACAGUCUUCGGCUGAAUAAAAAUUUGUGCAUACUUAGGGUGAAAUCCCUUGAGGCCAUAGAGGAAAGAAAGAUCUAAUUAAAUAUGCCGGGCAUUCAGUAGAGACCUAGGGGCCACAUCUCAGAAGCAAGGCUAAAUUAGUCCCAGAAAAAAGGCUACAUAGAUCAGUGGUUCUCAAAAGGGAGGGGGAGAUUUUGCCUCCAAGGGGAUAUUUGGCAAUGUCAGAGAUAUAGCAGACAAAUCUAACAUUAUAAACACCUUUGUCUCAGAAUCAAUAAGAAUAAACAAGACUUAAAUUUGACUGACAUUUCUGAAACAGUCUACCCAAGAACUUGCAUUCUUUUCAAGUAUACACAGAACAUUAAUCUAGAACAUAAAACAAGUCUGAAUACAUUUAGGAGGAUUAAGUCAUACAAUGAAUGCUGUCUGACAAAAAUGAGAUUAAAAUAGAAGUCAGUAACAAACAUAUCUGGAGAAAAACCCAAAUGUUUAGAAUUUGACAUUUAAUAAGCUAUAGAUUAAAUAAGGCAUCAUGAUUAAAUAAGGUAUCAUAAAAUUAAAAAUCUCUAGUACUGAAAACACAGCAUAUCAAAAUGUGUGGGAUGCAAUGAAGACAGUGCUUAGAAAAUUUACAGCAUUAAAAGCUUUGAUUAGAAAAGAAAGGUCUCAAUUAAUUAUAUAUGCUUCUACCCUAAACACAAGAAAAAUGGAAAGGAUAAAGAGUAGAAACGAAUAACUAAGAACAUGCAUAAACAACAACAAAAUCAAGACCAAGCUGGUUCUAUGAAAACAUUGGUAAAACUGAAAAACUUUUAGCCAGACUGAUUAAAAAAAAAAAAAAAAA